AUUGAACGCUGGCGGCAGGCCUAACACAUGCAAGUCGAGCGGUAACACAGGGAGCUUGCUCCCGGGUGACGAGCGGCGGACGGGUGAGUAAUGUCUGGGAAACUGCCUGAUGGAGGGGGAUAACUACUGGAAACGGUAGCUAAUACCGCAUAACGUCGCAAGACCAAAGAGGGGGACCUUCGGGCCUCUUGCCAUCAGAUGUGCCCAGAUGGGAUUAGCUAGUAGGUGGGGUAAUGGCUCACCUAGGCGACGAUCCCUAGCUGGUCUGAGAGGAUGACCAGCCACACUGGAACUGAGACACGGUCCAGACUCCUACGGGAGGCAGCAGUGGGGAAUAUUGCACAAUGGGCGCAAGCCUGAUGCAGCCAUGCCGCGUGUAUGAAGAAGGCCUUCGGGUUGUAAAGUACUUUCAGCGGGGAGGAAGGUGCUGAGGUUAAUAACCUCAGCAAUUGACGUUACCCGCAGAAGAAGCACCGGCUAACUCCGUGCCAGCAGCCGCCGUAA
rnacentral:rRNA from 1 species